rnacentral:rRNA from 1 species
GCAUGUGGUUUAAUUCGACGAUACGCGAAGAACCUUACCUGGCCUUGACAUAGAAAGAACUUACUAGAGAUAGUUUGGUGCUAGCUUGCUAGAACUUUCAUACAGGUGCUGCACGGCUGUCGUCAGCUCGUGUCGUGAGAUGUUGGGUUAAGUCCCGCAACGAGCGCAACCCUCGUGUUUAGUUACUAACAGUUCGGCUGAGGACUCUAGACAGACUGCCUGGGUAACCAGGAGGAAGGUGAGGACGACGUCAAGUCAUCAUGGCCCUUACGGCCAGGGCUACACACGUGCUACAAUGGGGUAUACAAAGAGCCGCAAUACCGCGAGGUGGAGCAAAUCUCAUAAAAUAUCUCCCAGUUCGGAUUGAAGUCUGCAACUCGACUUCAUGAAGUUGGAAUCGCUAGUAAUCGUGAAUCAGCAAUGUCACGGUGAAUACGUUCCCGGGUCGUGUACUCACCUCCC